rnacentral:rRNA from 1 species
UACGUAGGGUGCAAGCGUUAAUCGGAAUUACUGGGCGUAAAGCGUGCGCAGGCGGUUGUGCAAGACAGUUGUGAAAUCCCCGGGCUCAACCUGGGAACUGCAUCUGUGACUGCAUUGCUGGAGUGCGGCAGAGGGGGAUGGAAUUCCGCGUGUAGCAGUGAAAUGCGUAGAGAUGUGGAGGAACACCGAUGGCGAAGGCAGCCCCCUGGGGUCAAGAUUGACGCUCAUGCACGAAAGCGUGGGGAGCAAACAGG